GCAGUCGCCGCGGGAAAACGUAGGUGGCAAGCGUUGUCCGGAAUUAUUGGGCGUAAAGGGCUCGCAGGCGGUUUCUUAAGUCUGAUGUGAAAGCCCCCGGCUCAACCGGGGAGGGUCAUUGGAAACUGGGAAACUUGAGUGCAGAAGAGGAGAGUGGAAUUCCACGUAUAGCGGUGAAAUGCGUAGAGAUGUGGAGGAACACCAGUGGCGAAGGCGACUCUCUGGUCUGUAACUGACGCUGAGGAGCGAAAGCGUGGGGAGCGAACAGGAUUAGAUACCCGCGUAGUCCCUGUCUCUUAUAC
rnacentral:rRNA from 1 species